rnacentral:rRNA from 1 species
GAUGAACGCUGGCGGCGUGCCUAAUACAUGCCAGUCGAGCGAACGGACGAGAAGCUUGCUUCUCUGAUGUUAGCGGCGGACGGGUGAGUAACACGUGGAUAACCUACCUAUAAGACUGGGAUAACUUCGGGAAACCGUAGCUAAUACCGGAUAAUAUUUUGAACCGCAUGGUUCAAAAGUGAAAGACGGUCUUGCUGUCACUUAUAGAUGGAUCCGCGCUGCAUUAGCCAGUUGGUAAGGUAACGGCUUACCAAGGCAACGAUGCAUAGCCGACCUGAGAGGGUGAUCGGCCACACUGGGACUGAGACACGGUCCAGACUCCUACGGGAGGCAGCAGUAGGGAAUCUUCCGCAAUGGGCGAAAGCCUGACGGAGCAACGCCGCGUGAGUGAUGAAGGUCUUCGGAUCGUAAAACUCUGUUAUUAGGGAAGAACAUAUGUGUAAGUAACUGUGCACAUCUUGACGGUACCUAAUCAGAAAGCCACGGCUAACUACGUG